GGUGGCAGCGGGUGGGUGAAGUUCGGGUACAUUUUUGCUUGUUGAGGCUGAAGCUGUGCUUUCUUUGGGCUCGACUACGUAUCUUUAGUUUGGUUGAUCUACGGCUUACGGUCUGCGCUUGUGUCGGGACUCGUCCCGACGUGAAACCCCCGGAGCCACACGUGUCGACCAUAUUUACGCUGUUACUCUGCCAGGCGUAUAACUUCUCCAUAUCGCAGGAAAAAACGUUUGCAAGAGUAGCUGUAUUGAAAGGUGUUGUUGUUGGAUACACAUCCAGUUGCUGAGUAUUUGUUGAGCUUCAGCUGGUAAAGGCAUGGAGGCCAACAGCAUCCAAAAUAGUGCUAGUGCCACUGUCAAUGGUAAUAUAACUGCAAGUACUAAAAAGAUUGACAGAAGCAACUCGCUUCAAGAACAAGCUCGUGCCCAGGCAAAGGCAAAUUCCAAGAGACUGAGGUCAAUCUCCAUAUCAGAGCCAGAGCCAACAAGGUCACAGCCCAAAUUUUCAAAGAACAGCAGGAGAUCCAGGAGUGGGUUUGGAAGAGGACUUCCAAAGAAGGGAGGAGCUGGAGGAAAAGGUGUCUGGGGGAAGCCUGGUUCAGAGCUGGAGGAGCAGGGUGACAUAGUUGACUCCCAUGAUCCCAACUAUGACUCUGAGUCCAUGGAUGAAGAUGUGCAGUUGAAGCCAGUUCCUGUGGAACUUACGGAGGAUGAAGUCAAGAAGCUGACCGAGACGCUGGUGCUCGAGUACUUCGACCAUGGCGACACGGCCGAGGUGGACGCGGCGCUGACGGAGCACUGGC